AUACGGAGGAUCCGAGCGUUAUCCGGAUUUAUUGGGUUUAAAGGGUGCGUAGGCGGAAGAAUAAGUCAGUGGUGAAAGUUUGCAGCUCAACUGUAAAAUUGCCAUUGAAACUGUUUUUCUUGAGUGUAAAUGAGGUAGGCGGAAUGUGUUGUGUAGCGGUGAAAUGCUUAGAUAUGACACAGAACACCGAUUGCGAAGGCAGCUUACUAAGAUACAACUGACGCUGAGGCACGAAAGCGUGGGGAUCGAACAGGAUUAGAUACCCUGGUAGUCCACGCAGUAAACGAUGAUUACUAGCUGUUUGCGAUAUACUGUAAGUGGCUAAGCGAAAGCGAUAAGUAAUCCACCUGGGGAGUACGUUCGCAAGAAUGAA
rnacentral:rRNA from 1 species